rnacentral:misc_RNA from 1 species
AGGGGCAGGGCUCAGGUUCAGGACAUGGGGAGGGUUACGGUGAGGGUUCCGGAAGAGGCCAGGGUUCGGGAUCUGGGUACGGUGAAGGACAUGGAUACGGUUCUGGUUACGGUAGUGGACAUGGCAAGUGAGGAUAAUCCCUGUGACCAUAUGUACUAUGGUAUGCACCAUCUUCUGUGUAUGUAAAUAAGGAAGUGGUGAAAAAUAAUUUUAUCUUGCG